CUUUCCUUGAUGACGACUGGCGCACGGGUGAGUAACGCGUAUCCAACCUUCCCAUAACUACGGGAUAACCCGUUGAAAGACGGCCUAAUACCGUAUGACAUCGUUUGCUGACAUCAAAUAACGAUUAAAGGUUUAGCGGUUAUGGAUGGGGGAUGCGUCUGAUUAGCUUGUUGGCGGGGUAACGGCCCACCAAGGCGACGAUCAGUAGGGGUUCUGAGAGGAAGGUCCCCCACAUUGGAACUGAGACACGGUCCAAACUCCUACGGGAGGCAGCAGGU
rnacentral:rRNA from 1 species